rnacentral:piRNA from 1 species
UGCACAGAGGAUAGCUUGCUG